rnacentral:lncRNA from 1 species
GACAUAGACAAAAAAAUUAACCUCCUAAAUGUCUUGCAAAGUACUUUUAUGUUUACUAGGCAACCUUGCAUCCCAAUAUUGCUCCCUUUGAUUACAUUACAUCUUCUUCUUGUGAAUCUCUUCCCUCCCUCUGCUGAACCCACUCCGUCCCCACUGCCAGGUCUUCAUCCACUAUACCUCACCACACUAUACAAUAAAUACAUUUAGCUCUGGUUUCCCUUCUAAGCCUGUAUUUUCAUUCCACGUCCAGACAGACAAUUACUUUCUCAACUUUUUCACCUGGAUACUUCAGAAGCAUCUUAGAUAAAACAUAUUUCAAAAUCAACUCAGGUUUUCUUCC